GUUGCCCCACCGUAAGGUGAAGCAAAGUGUGAGAUCAGCAAGAGAUUCUCUUAAAUUCCAUGCGAAAGGAGGCUUGUGCUGGUUUUAGUUCAGAUGAACUGUUCACAAAAGAAAACACUGUUUGGGAUGGACAGCAAUACCUGGCUAGAAGGGGCAGAGCGUGAACAUGUCGGUGGGAGUUCCAGCAAGUGAUUUCCCCCUUGUUAAGCAGCAUACGCCUCUGAAGAAAACCGAUCUUGAAGUCGUUUCAGGAAAAGGGGAUAUCCCAAUGUCUGUCUUCUUCACUGACUAAGCUUCAUCUUUUGAUAACUGUGAAGCGUCAAAUACCUCAGUUAAGAUGAUCAAGGAACCAUCUGGAGAGGCUACUUCUGAACAUGAUCCAUCGUCUCUUGGAACAGAUGGACCUGUGAUCUACUUGCAUUAUCCUCCCAGUCAGAGGGAUUCAGCUUUUCACCGUGCAGCUUCAUCUGCUGCCUCCCAGCACCUCAAGUCACCGAGUCCUCUUGGGAGUCCCUCUGCUUUCCAAAACAGGUUACUAAUUCUUAAUCAGGUCAGUUACCUGAGUGACUUUGUGCUGUGAGAACACAAGCUGAAUGACCAGAAGGAUUCACUUUCUGACUUCUUGGGCAAGUUGAGCUUAUGAUUCUCAGAUAAACUUCAGUAGAAAAAUUGUGGCAACUCGUCAGGAAAUGCUUUCUUUGUAAGGAUAUGUAGAAAAGCCGUGGUUCACCUAGCAAGUCUCCUUCAGUGGCUAGGACUAGACACUUCAGAAGGGGGCGUGAAAACCCACGUAGAAUACAGCUGCGUGAAGAAAUACCCCGAAGAAAGUUUUGGCACCCCUGCCAAUGGAUAGUUGCCUUUAUGCCCUGAAAUGUGAGAUUUAUGUUCCAUGCAAAUUCUUUAUUUCUCUUUAUGAUACGCUUUCACGAUCAUGAAAUAAUUUUCUGCAGUUCCCUGGAGAGUUCCGCAGUUGAACGAUGCCUCAGGCAGACAAAUACAACGGAUGUAUU